AGCUUUGCGCAAUGGCAGUAUCGUAGCCAAUGAGGUUUGUCCGAGGUGCAAUUAUUGCUAAUUGAAAACUUUUAGCACUUUGAU
ensembl:snRNA U4 U4 spliceosomal RNA